AAAACAUCUUUUCUUGUUUUUAUUUGAGAUUUAACCUGCCCAAUGAUUAUUUAAUGGCCGCGGUAUUUUGACCGUGCAAAGGUAGCAUAAUCAUUAGUUUAUUAAUUGUGGACUUGUAUGAAUGGUUGGACGAAAUAUUAACUGUCUCAUUUUAAUUAAUUGAAUUUAAAAUUUGAGUUAAAAUGCUUAAAUUUUUUUAUAGGACGAGAAGACCCUAUAGAUCUUUAUUAUUAUUUUUUUUAUUUUUUUUUUGUUUCUUUUUUAAUUAAUUAAUUAAUUAUUUUGUUGGGGUGACAUUGAGAUAUAUAAAACUCUUUUUAUUUAUAUUCAUUUAUUUUUGUUUAUUUGACUUUUUAUUAAUGUUAUAAGAUUUAGAUACCUUAGGGAUAACAGCGUAAUUCUUUUUAAGAGUUCAUAUCAACAAAAGGGAUUGCGACCUCGAUGUUGGAUUAAGAUUAUUUUUAGGUGUAGAUGCUUAAAUAUAUAAGUCUGUUCGACUUUUAAUUUCUUACA
rnacentral:rRNA from 1 species